CCAGACUCCUACGGGAGGCAGCAGUGGGGGAUAUUGGACAAUGGGGGGAACCCUGAUCCAGCGACGCCGCGUGAGUGAAGAAGUAUUUCGGUAUGUAAAGCUCUGUCAGCAGGGAAGAAAGCAAUGACGGUACCUGACCAAGAAGCCCCGGCUAACUACGUGCCAGCAGCCGCGGUAAUACGUAGGGGGCAAGCGUUAUCCGGAAUUACUGGGCGUAAAGGGAGCGUAGACGGCUGUGCAAGUCUGGAGUGAAAGGCGGGGGCUCAACCCCCGGACUGCUCUGGAAACUGUAUGGCUGGAGUGCAGGAGAGGUAAGCGGAAUUCCUAGUGUAGCGGUGAAAUGCGUAGAUAUUAGGAGGAACACCAGUGGCGAAGGCGGCUUACUGGACUGUAACUGACGUUGAGGCUCGAAAGCGUGGGGAGCAAACAGGAUUAGAUACCCCGGUA
rnacentral:rRNA from 1 species